rnacentral:rRNA from 1 species
AUCAACUUUCGAUGGUAGGAUAGAGGCCUACCAUGGUGGUAACGGGUAACGGGGUGUUAGGGCACGACACCGGAGAGGGAGCCUGAGAAACGGCUACCACAUCCAAGGAUGGCAGCAGGCGCGCAAAUUACCCAAUCCCGACACGGGGAGGUAGUGACAAUAAAUAACAAUACGGGGUCCUUUGGAUCUCGUAAUUGGAAUGAGUACAAUUUAAAUCUCUUAACGAGGAACAAUUGGAGGGCAAGUCUGGUGCCAGCAGCCGCGGUAAUUCCAGCUCCAAUAGCGUAUAUUAAAGUUGUUGCAGUUAAAAAGCUCGUAGUUGAAUUUCGGGGUCGGUAGGUUGGUCAUGCCAUCGGUAUGCACUGGUCUCACCGAUUCCUCCCUCUUGUAGAAGCGUAAUGCCAUUAAGUUGGUGUUGCGGGGAAACAGGACUGUUACUUUGAAAAAAUUAGAGUGUUUAAAGCAGGCUAACGCUUGAAUACAUUAGCAUGGAAUAAUGAAAUAGGACGUCGAUCCUAUUUUGUUGGUUUCUAGGGUUGACGUAAUGAUUAAUAGGGAUAGUUGGGGGCAUUAGUAUUCAAUUGUCAGAGGUGAAAUUCUUGGAUUUAUUGAAGACUAACUACUGCGAAAGCAUUUGCCAAGGAUGUUUUCAUUAAUCAAGAACGAAAGUUAGGGGAUCGAAGACGAUCAGAUACCGUCGUAGUCUUAACCAUAAACUAUGCCGACUAGGGAUCGGAUGAUGUUAAUUUUUUAAUGACUCAUUCGGCGCCUUACGGGAAACCAAAGUGUUUGGGUUC